CGCCCGCCGGGGACCCGCGCGGGGGGAAGGGCGGCACGGGACAGGCAGAGCACGGGGCAGAAAGCACAGGGCGGGAGCAGCCGCAGGGACCAGCGCAAGGCGGGGGGGAAGGAAACAGGCGGAGGCCCCGGGGCCGGACCAGGGCGGAGGGGGCGGGGCGACGCCCGGGGAAGGCCCCCGAAGAGGCCGGGCCCAGGCCGGCCCCCGGCCGGCACGCGGGGACCCGCGCGCGCCGCGGAAGCAGCGCGAGCAGGCCACCGACAGCCGACGGGGGCGGGACAGGGACCCCCGGGCCCAGCCCGCAGAGCCAAGCCGGGGCCCGAGGGGACGGAGCCAGGGGGCCGACGGCCCGGGCCGACAGGGGCCAGCGACCAGAGGCGGGGCACCGGGGAGACCGGAGGCGGGAGGAGGACGACCGGGCGGGGGAGGCACGCGGGCCGCCGGAGGGGCAAGGGCCGCCGGG
rnacentral:lncRNA from 1 species